CGGACUGAAAUGGGCGAAAGCCUGAUGCAGCAACGCCGCGUGAGCGAUGAAGGCCUUCGGGUCGUAAAGCUCUGUCCUCAAGGAAGAUAAUGACGGUACUUGAGGAGGAAGCCCCGGCUAACUACGUGCCAGCAGCCGCGGUAAUACGUAGGGGGCUAGCGUUAUCCGGAAUUACUGGGCGUAAAGGGUGCGUAGGUGGUUUCUUAAGUCAGAGGUGAAAGGCUACGGCUCAACCGUAGUAAGCCUUUGAAACUGGGAAACUUGAGUGCAGGAGAGGAGAGUGGAAUUCCUAGUGUAGCGGUGAAAUGCGUAGAUAUUAGGAGGAACACCAGUUGCGAAGGCGGCUCUCUGGACUGUAACUGACACUGAGGCACGAAAGCGUGGGGAGCAAACAGGAUUAGAUACCCUGG
rnacentral:rRNA from 1 species